CGAACCUGCCAAGACAAACAAUUAAGUCCAUGCAUCUGAAUUAAUUAUAGGGGCGCAGGGUAUCGUUAGCUGUGAUUGAUAUAACCUGGAAUUGAUUGGAAAUAAAGCUUUAACAUUCUUUGUUAGUGGGAAACAUGUACACACAGUGCAGAAGGAAACAGACGCAGCAUUACCUCUUUUCAUCUAGGCAGCCAGAGCACCAGGAAGAGCAGUCUGUGUAGUUUCUUUGAAGUUAAUGGCAUUAAUUAUGCUGCCUGAAGAUGCACUAAUAUGGAGGCAUGUUUUGAAGGCAGAGACGCUGUGGUCCUUAUCCUCACUGCAUCCACUUGUGAACUCACAUGAGGGCGGGAUGUUUCUGAGUUGCACCUGCUCAGAGUGGUCUUCCUCCAGUUCCCAGGUAUGAACAGCUUCCCCUCAGAUUGUUUCCACAACCCUGUGGUGGACUAUAUCUCUUGCAGGAGAGACAAGCAGAUUCUCUUUAUUUACAAGUGACAGAAUGUCCAAAAUUGCUGUAUUUAUAGGUAGACAGUGAGAUCCAGAUGAGGACAUGACAGUGGUUGGAUUGGAGACAACAGAUCUACUUCUGGCCUAGGGGGUAAUUUUCAUGUCACCAGACAGGCUGUUCUUGUUGUAAACCAGCUGGAAAACUGCCCUAAUGGAUAACAGAGAAAGCUGCAAGAAAAGUAUGGCUUCCACUCUCCAUUGCUGCCCUCUGAAGUAUGCCUGAGCACAUAAGAGCAGGCUAAAUGGCCAAGGACAAGACAGGACAGGAGGUAGCUUUCAGAAGGACUUUGCCAUUCCUCAGCUCAAUUGCACUGAACAUCAAUCUUCCAGAUGAAUUAUUGACAAUAGCUGUGUUAUCCUCUGCCUUCUGCAGCUGCUUGGAAAGGAAGCACAUGCCAAGUUUGUUUUUUCUUUCAGCAUUUCCAAGGGAAGUUCUCUCCAAGGGCUAAAGUAACACUUUGCUUCUGCUGCUGCUUGAUGAGAUUUGCAACACAGGCACAGGCCAUGCAAACAUACAAGGCUUGAAGUGCAAAUGGGAGGGCCUGUUCCGAACUGCUAUUUCUUUGUUUUCAGAUUAACGUCAUUUUUAAUGAUGUCUCACUUCCCGAUGCAGAGAUCCGAACUCUGAUUACUGGCAAGCAAAUGCUGUGUUGAAAAUCAUCCAUGUGUCUGGAUUAUGAUUAGGCCAUAACGAAGCAGAGAAAAUAUCAAAAAAUGAAAUGACUUGUGGAGAUUAUUUACACAGGGAAAUACAUUUUAGUGUUCACAUAAGAAUUAACCUCUCUUCAUCUAUUAAAUUCUACAUAAAACUAUAAAGAAAAUUAUUUACAUUUCUAAUUAGCACUCACCUGAGCCAAUUCUGAGGGAACAGUUUUUACUUUUGGCCCUUCUGUCUUUGUCUUGGACAGGUAUCAAGAGUGGAAAUCUCAGAAAUAUGGAGAACGUGAAAUAAAAACAGCAAGCAGAGGCGUGAUUUAAAACUGUCAAGCUCUAGUAAAAGGAACUUCUACUAGUGAAUCAUAAUACCGAGCAUAUAUUAAGUUCUGCUUUGCCAAAUACAGUUUUAUAUACCCCCAAGUGAACGAUCAGUGUAAGAAUGUGAAUUGUACUAUUGAGUAGAUGUUUAUGUAAUUCUCCCAGAAAACACAGUUUAACUCUCAGCACUCAUGCAAGCUGUACUGCCUCGGAUUUACAGGACAGACACCACUCUUGCAGGGUGUCCCAUCCUGGCAAACAACGGUCUAGUCCUUUUCCCUGUAUUUGUUGGGGACUAC